AGCAGUAGCCACGGGAAUACGUAGGGUGCAAGCGUUAAUCGGAAUUACUGGGCGUAAAGCGUGCGCAGGCGGUUAUAUAAGUCAGAUGUGAAAUCCCCGGGCUCAACCUGGGAACUGCAUUUGAGACUGUAUGGCUAGAGUGUGUCAGAAGGGGGUAGAAUUCCACGUGUAGCAGUGAAAUGCGUAGAUAUGUGGAGGAAUACCGAUGGCGAAGGCAGCCCCCUGGGAUAACACUGACGCUCAUGCACGAAAGCGUGGGGAGCAAACAGGAUUAGAUACCCGCGUAGUCCCUGUCUCUUAUAC
rnacentral:rRNA from 1 species